GGUCAGGAUCACCUCCUUCGACCUGCUGGUCACGCUCCUUUUGAUGCAGCCCAGGAUGCGGUUGGCUUUGUGGGCUGUGAGCACACACUGAAGCUGGCUCAUGUUCAUUUUCUCAUCGAAAAGUGGGAUUGUGUGUGUAAGUGCUGCUUAUCAUGGUAUGCUGUGGGAACUGAGUUUAAACUGGCAUCAUCCACUCAGACCAUUAAAAAGAAGCUGUUUUUACGAUGGAAAAAUUCCUGUUGUGUAUAAAUGUAAAGAAUUAACUCUAUUGAUUAACUAAAAUUUUAGAACAGUCUAAUUGGAACAGUGCCUGAUAAGGAAACAUGGAUUGAUUACAGUGUUUAUUGGGAUACAAAUACAGUGAAAAAGAACUAAACACCAACCGUGAACUCAAGCUAAAAAGGAAUUCAUUUUGUGAAUCAGAAUCAUUGCACAAAAAAAUUCCAUAUGACAGCAGAAGUACUUAGCACAGAGAAAGGAAGGGAGGCCACAGGAGCUUGUGUUUUCUUCUCUUGAUGUAACAUUAUUAAUGUUGAUGGCAUUUCUCCAGCAAAUGUUUCACGUAAAUCAUCUGUCAUCACUUGUAACAGAAUGGUGGCAUAAAGGAGUAUUACAGUUGCCCUGUGAUCUACCUAAAGGUAAUUGCUUGCAUAGGUUUUUAUAGUUGUCAACUGACAAGGAAAAAAAUGAUUAAAAACAUGGAUUUACGUUCUGAUGUACACUUCUCAGAUGGAGUUAAAACUUUCAAAUCUUCUCCCUUUCCAUUAUCCUUAUCCAUUCCAGAUCUCUGUAACGUCCUUUUUCUAUUAUUCUAAUUUCUUCUAUCUCUUCCCACAUCUAGGGUUGUUUGACACAUCUCUAACUCCAUCCUUUCCAUCUUAGUGCUCCACCUGUUAUCAGUUUGUUGGUCCUGCCCCUUCCCUGUUCCUUCAAGAUCUGUCCUGUUUUCUAUGACUGCUGGGACUUUCUGCUCCCAUCAGGACUCUCACAGUUGCGUAUUUCCUUCAGUACUCUGAUUUUUAAUCCAGAGUUUCCAGACCAAUAGCACUUACGUUUUGUUUCUUUGUUUUCAAGAAGGACACAUUUCUAAUGCUUUGAUUUGAGAUCAGGAUGACCUACCUAGCCCAUCCCUAGAUUGACCCUUCAGGUCUCAUCUGCUGUUGGUAGGUUCCUGUGCUUCUGUUUCUCCUAAGGGAGCCUUACUGGUGUACUACUGUACACAAAGAUUAGUGACAUAUGGAGUGCAGAAAGCAAAACCUGUCAGGGCUAGUCUGCUCUCACAGAAGAACUUUAAGACAGAGUGACAGCAAAGGGCAUCCACCAGUGGUGCAGCAGAGCCUACGAACAACUACAAGCCUGAGUAGCUCUUAAACUACUGGAAACGAGCAGUUUGCUUUUCCUUGGCACCUGCUGCACGACAGCAGUCCUGUCUGGUGGGCCAGAAUCCAUUCACCAUGGUGUGCUGCUGCCAGCAUGUGAUGUGGGUCAUAGCAUUCCUAGCAGUUUUGUUUGCCAGUAUCAGCAUCAGGCCUGCUGGUCUUCUCAUGUGCUUUCAAUUCUUUUAUUUUAACUCCUCCUCACUUCCUGUUUGUUGCCUGCUAUUUUGCCGCUGUUGCUGCUGGUUUUCCAUUCUUUCAAGUCCUCCCAGUCCAGCUGUCCCCCAGACUGCCAUGGACCCACCAUCUCCCAUAUUCCACCCCUUCUGCUGCUACAGGGGCAUCACCCACAGUUAUUUCCUCUGCAGGAAAUAACUAUCAUUCCUGCUGUACUACACACCAUGGUUAUUGGAGGGCAUGAGUUAAAUAACUAAAUUGUCUUGAGACUGAGCACCAUGUAAGGGUUACAGCAUGAUCGUAUUUGUUCUGGGCAAUCAACUUUAUGUAAUGGGAAACUCCAUCCAAAGCCAGAUCUAGGAAAAAGCUGGGUGAGGCUGUCAAAUGCAUAAUGUUACCCUUGUCUGGUGCAGCUUUAAGCCGAAACUUCGCACUUCCACAAAAUGUUCCUCAAAAGAGCAAGUUUGGCCCAGAAGUAUUGUGUCUGGAUGGUAAUCUAUCUGAGAAAUCACUUUUACUUUUCUGCUAAUUGCAAACUCUCUCAGAUUCUGAGAUUCACAUUCCUAUUUCUGGAAACAAAUCCAUGACCCCUGAUAAUUUGUUGUAACGGUUAACAGGAAAAUGGAACUGUCAUUUAUGUUUCAGCUUGACUUUGUGUACAGACUCAGGCAAUUACAUCUCCAUCUUUUAGUUAAUUUUAUCUGCUACAGACUCAGUUAAAUUUACUUGCAGAUUUCAGUUAUAUCCGGAAAGUCUGCAGGAUAUGAACAAUUGCUGGUUGUAUAUUAAUCACUGAGAUGUUUUAUCCUGACUUCCUAAGGAAAUAAAGCUUAUAUGAGCAAUUAAUACAUUUGUGUGCAUGCUCCUUUGUCUGUCCUUUUCCUGUCUAAUUGACUAAUCAUCUCAGUCAAUUUCAGAUUGACUAAUUUACUAAGAAAAGUCAUUCUUUUAGAAAUGAAUUGUGUACUCCUUAAAUGCUGUGUUGUCCCUCAUAGUUUUGGGUUAUUUUUCUUCCUUUCACUGAGGAAAAGGUUACAAUAUUAACCUUCUACCUGUUAGUCUUAAGAAAACCCACACAUGAGAGCAACAAGUGCCCCAACCACAGAAUAGGCUUCAGUUGGUGAACAUAACUUAUUAGGCACUGUUACAAGCCACAAAUGCAGAAGGAACCAAUAUAAGCAGUUUUGUUGCUCACAGAACCUCUGUUUUUGUUCACCUGAUUUUCUUAAAAUCCUGAAUGCUGGGUCACAUGACAUGCAUGGGAAUAAAGUUUGAAAAUAGUUAUGAUAAUGGCUAUUUAAACACUUCUAGUAAAUGUUUAAGUUUCAAAUGCUUUCAGCUGUGUAUCUGUAAAGAAAAACAUUUCUUGCUUUAUUAAAAUUAUCAGAUUUACAGUCAGACUUUUUUCCAUGAGGUCAGCACAUUCUUGUGGCUGGAAAAGGUCCAUAUCUACUAGCUUUCCACCAAGAAAUGCUAUAAAUGCCUGCUAAGCCAUCAGGGGCACAGAAGAAUGUGGGAUAUGACACCAUCUGUCCCUUGUGCUGUUCAGAAGAUGAGUCCUUUGAGAGUGAGGGUCUGCAGACGGAGCAGGUAAAAAUUAAAAAGCUGAAAGUUAGGAGAUGACAAUGUGGCUAUAUUACCCUCCACCCACAUUCAUGCUUUUGUAGCCUCCUUUGUCCCUGGAGCAAAUCCAAAGAAGUUGAAAACAGCAGCAGGGGAAGGAAAUACUCUGAGAAAUUUGCCAAAAUAGUGUAAUUAUGAUUGACUGAAGGAGCACAACUGCCACAGGAGAGGAUGCAGACUUUGAGGGCUGGCAUGGAUCUUCAAUGCUUCUAGGCAUAUACUGUCAGGUAUGCGAGGAUAACCCAGAAAUCACCUUCUCCUUCAUAAGCAGUAAGCCAGAGCAGUGCAGAGAUUAGGGCACCUGAGAAAAUGGAGUUCAGACCCAGAGGAGUUGCAGGAGAGGACAGAUCCUUGUGACAGAGUGCAAAUACCAUAAUUUCUUGUCAAAGCAAGGAAGAUCUACUGGAAUUUAGCAUAAGGCACAGAUCUACCUCUUUGCUGUGACAGUGGCAGGCAAAACUUGAGGGGAGAAAAAAAAGAACAACUGGCUUUCUUGAAAUUUUAUUAGUGGUUGUAUGUGAGAUGGUAAUAACAUAGUACCUGUGAUGCGCUAAAGAUAUAAUCAAGUGAUCUUUUUCUGGAGAAGCUAAUUUACAUGGUAAUUAUCUUGCUCAGUACGUAUACAGUUGAUGAAAAUACAGACUAUUUGGGGAGCACAUAAGCUCUUCUCCAACUGACUUUUUUUGUGUGAUGUUUUUAACUUUUAAAAAUAUUUCACAUGAUCUAAACAUUUAUAGAUAUCAGAUUUGCUUUACAAUUAGAAAUAUGUUUGCUUAGUUUACAAAUGAACUAAUAUGAUUCCCUACUGUCUUGCAUCAGUUUACUUUAAGGUUAUUAUUGUUUAUCAUUUUUGUUCUAAAAUGCAAAUGCAUGGUCCCACAUGUGGUGAGCCCUGUAAUGUUAGUUACUACAGAAAUAAAGAAUAAAAGGUAGCCAGAGGCUAAAUUGACACCUAAUUUAUUUUUCAUUUCAUUCUUUGGUGAAGUAACCUUACUGUAUUUUUAGAUGACUUCUAAAGGUUUGCAAUCAGCAAAUACCAUAAUGAUGUAACAAUUUACCUAGUGUUUGCAUAUAUGCAAAAAUCCUUAAUGCAAGCAUGUCCAAGGUUAUUUGAAAUUGCAUUGCUAAAGCAGAACAGGCAGUAAGUGCCAUUGCAGACCAUUUUAAGAGGAUUGAUCUUGUUUCAACUUUUCCGAUAUGUCCACAAUUCUCAUGCAUUUCAAGGCCAAUUCUUUUCAAAAAAGAAAUCUACGUCUUAAGUGUGCAAUGUUCUUUUACGUUAGUGGACCUGGAGAGUUUGCCUGUUAGACAUCCGCUUUGCAUCAGUACUGUGCUUCAACAAAAUAUGGAGAGUUACAUAAUCACCUUGGUCUUAACUGGCAUAUCAGUUGGCAUUUAUUGCAAUGAACAGUGUAUUUCCAAUGUAACAGGUGAUAAGAAUGCCACUUCAGAAACAGCUUUUCGACCAUGAGCAGGACAUCUUACUCACAAAAGAGUUAAUUUUGGUGAAAAGGUUCCAACUGAUUUUCUAGCUCUCAUUUUCAUGCCAUGCUCUUUGCAGAGCUGUCUGGUCUUCUAGAUUUGCAUAUAUUUUGGCCAUUAAAUUUGUUGGUACCACAGAAGUUGGUACCACAGAAUUAAGGGUUUUACCAGAAAAAAAGAGCUACUUCAUGGGAGUCCACAAGUUGAAUUUGCAACAUAUCGGCAAGUGUAAACUAAUGUGGCAGGGAACGUAUUUUUAUUAAGAAAAAACAUCCUUAUUGUUACUUAACUGUCCAGAAUCUGUAAGAAAAAUAAUAAACUUACUGCAUUUUUCACCUCAAUUCAGUUUGAUAACAAAAAGUAUUUUUUCCCUGUUAAUGAGAAACCUUGUAUUUCACUUAGUUAUAAUCUCAGCUCUUGCUUGCUCUUCAUGUCUCUGUCCUUAAAGAUUAAUGUACAAUACUUGAGAAUGCAGCUGACUGAAUUCUUCAGUGAAACAAUUUUUUAGCUGCACAAUACUCAUACACUGUAUAAUAAGGCACUUGCAAGAGCCUAGGUGCUUCAACAGGACUUUUACUGAAAUGCAAAACUCCAAGAGAGCAAGAGGUAUAAUAGGUAAUAGCCUUGUGAUUGUGGAACUCUUUUGGGAGAUAAGCAGAACAUUCAGGAGCCUCUUCUGCCUUAUUUAGGUGUUGGGCCUAGAUUUCUCCUUCUUCAUCUUAAUUUAGUCCCUGAGUGCUAGGUAUGAGAGAAAUGGCUAUACAGAUCUAGUCCAAUGAUUAUUCUGUCUACCUAGGAUUUUGGGUACUCAGCUUCACAGCUUUGUCGCAGAGAAUUUAAAUGAAAUAUACAAUAACAAAAAGUCAUAAUCCAUUUCUACUUUAGGAAAACCACUGUAGAGUUGAUUUCCUGAUGGUUGAAGCAGAUUCCUGGAACAGGGAUGAAUGGCAGACCUGCAGACUGAAUCUGAAUCUUUGACAUCUUAGGUAAAUUCCUCUCACUGCCAGACUUCUGUCUGUUCAUCCAUAAAAUUGAAGGGGUUUAGUGUAAUUUAGUAAAGAAAAAGAACAAUUAAGAAACCUUAAAAAUUUCCUAGUCUAACCUGAUACUAUCUUUCAUCAAUAGGGGCCAUAUUUAAUAAAAAAUAUUUAUGACUGCACAUGAUUAUAAACUCAUUUCAGUUUGAAUGUGUAUUUAUAUACUGAUAUCAUUAAGAAUUACUUUUGUCAGCAGUCAAAUCUGGUCUUCUAUGAUGUUGACAAUGUUCUGUAUAUAGAAAGGGAGAAUCUCAGAGAAAACUUGACAAACUUUGUAUACCUUCCAAGACAGUGAUAAAUUUUUGAGAAAAAUUCAGUGGCCCCUCGUUUUUUUUGCAUAAAGUAUACUCUUAAAACUAUCAGGUAAAACACACAGUGUUGUAAUUUUAUAACAACAUUUAGCUGGUAAUUAACAUAGUAACAGAUAAGUAUUUGGUAAAAAUAGAAACGGGUCUUAAUUCUUUUUUAUCAUGGAUGUCAACGUUUCUUUGCUGUGAUUACAUCUGGGCUAUUUUCCCAUUUUUUGAGGCUAAACAUAAAUUCAGAUUACAAAUAUUUGCUUCUAAAGAAUAUUUACUGAAAGAGGAAAAGCCUAAAAUAGUAUGUCUUAGCAGGUUGCUUCUUUCGUAAACAGGAUUAACAUAAAUGGUGCUGCCAGAUUAUGAUGAUUAAUGGUUCAAAACUCUAUAGAUCUGCAUUAUGUAAUGCACCUCAUAUCCUUGAAAUGAGGAUGGUCAUUUGUCAUUGUUGUUUACAGCUCAAAUUACAACAGCUUGGACAACAGAGACAAGCUCCCCUGUGGGCCACUUAGUUGAACUUGACUGAAGAAUGUCUGCCCCUGGAAAGAAAAAUAUUUGAUUUCCAACAGAGAACUGGACGUUUCUGUGCCAAAUGGGACAGUGUUUGGAAAAAGCUGGAACAGAAUGGAAAGAAGUUUAAAUUAUCAUGCUAAGACUGAAAGUUAUUACAUAGAUACCUAAAACCAAAAUACACCUAUGUGGGUAUCUGUCUACUGUAAAUGUUCCUCCUUUUCUAUUUUCAAUCAGUGUUAACUGCAUAAAGCUAAUGUAUAAUCAUUCCUUGGAACUUCCUCUCAAAAAUAUAGGCACAUUUUGUUAAAUGUGUAACAUAGGCAGCAAGUGAUAUGGCCAUAUCAAGCCGUUUAAAAGAAGACAUGGGCAGGUCAGAUCUAUCUUCAAAGACUAGAGGGCCCUGCAAAAUUCAUAGUACCAGAGCUAGAUGCCUUUGUAUCUAGUGUCAUAUACAAUUAUAGUUUAGCCUGGAGGAGCUCUCUCUCUGUUGCCUGUCCCAGAGAUAUCAGAAUUUCAGUAUUAAGACUCAAUAUAGUAUACAGAUUUUUAGUUCGGAGCCAGUAUAUUUGAAUCAAGGACAACUGCUGUCAUCAGGUGAAGAUUUUAGUUUUAAUCAGCCCCCUUCAAACACAUAUCUGCUCCAUAUAGGUACGUGUUUAUGUAUCUGAAUACAUAUGUAUACAUACACGUUAUUUUGGCACUGGUACUCAGAUCUUUCUCAUAAUACUGUUUUCCAUUAUCUGUCCUUGCAUAUCUCCUUUCAGUGGACACAAUAUAUACUUAUAGAUUGAGAAUUUGAAAGGAAAAGAAUCCAUAUAUUCUGUGAAGGCAUCUGUGUGGUUUUAUAUAAGAUUUUUAUAAGACUGAAAUUAAAAAGGGCAAAGAGAACAUCAUAAAGGUGCCAUGUGGUGCAGGAUUUACCAUGGAAACAACACUACAGAAUGCAAGAUCAGGCUUCAGAAUAGCUUUAUCUUAAUCACCUUCAGUUCUUCCAUAUAUUCCAAGUGUUCUUCUUUGCUCAACAUGGAGUGAACAUGAAACAUAACAAAUCUGUGGGCUGAAGGACAAUAUGCUUCACUUGCACAACUUUUCAGUCAUUGCCAACCUGUUUUAGUAAUAAAUUCCUGUUGU